rnacentral:lncRNA from 1 species
GAAGGAUUCUAACAGUCUAGCAAACAUUGAGAUGACUAAGAACUAACAACCAGAGUCCUGUUACUGCAGUGAGGUUAAGGCUAGUUCUGAGCUCCACGUUUCCUGGUGCUGGAAUCCUCCCUUACCUAGCUAGUGUCACUACUGGAAGAGAGAUGCUUCAUUCCUAUUCCUCUACCCACCCAACAGAUACUGUGAGGUCUUACCUUGGUGAUUCCAGAAUUCUAAAAUAAAUGGAAAGAGCCUCAACUAUCAAACUGACAAUGCAAUAGUUUUCUGAAAUGCUGAAAGAAAAGAAAGGCUUGGAUCAUGAAGAACUCAAAAGUAGGACUGAAAUUUUUUCUCCAAAUACAGCCACUGGGCAGCUAUUUGAAGACAUAAUUGGAUUUGAGUCUCAUCCAAAGAGUCAGAAAGACUCUUACGGGAAACAGCAGGAGUGUCACGUGAAUACAAGCUUACAAAUGACAACAGCAUUACAGUGGACUCUGGAAUUUUGCCGAGCACUAAGUUGUAUCUGCUGGUAUGUUUUACAAGUAUAGGUCAGUCUUCUCAUGACAAACAACCAACAAUUAUCCUAGACAUCUGGGGAAAUGUCUUUGGGAGGGGCCCACUGUUCUCAUAAAAUGUUCACAUCCAUGACUUCCGUAUUCUGUAUUCAGUUUCCAUCCUAAUCAAUACAUAUGCUUUGCUAGACUGAAUGGUUUAUUAGAGAACCACCAUGGGAUCCACUGUGGAACAGCACAUUUGCUCUAGUUUAUGUCAUCUAGAGAGGUUGUAAAUGGCCUCAGAACACCGCUGCUUUUUCUCUUUGAUACAGUUAAAUCCCUCCUUGUUCCUUGAGUUAAAAUUCAAAGAAAGCUACCCCGACUGACUGAUGUAAGUGGUGUCUGAGGUCAAACAAAGUCAAACAACUUGUUUAGAAUAGACUUCUAAUUAAUCUGGGCCUUAGGAGUGUAACCUUUAUAACUUGACUUCAGAAUCAACGCCUUUUAUAAUACCAGGUGUUCUCCAAACAGUCAAAUGUCAGUUGUCUUACUAUGUGAUCAUAGGGCUCAUAAGGCCCUGGCUGUGCCUUCAUAGACUUUGCAUCAUGCUUACGUCAUCAUUCUUUCUAUCCGUUAUGGUCUCUCAUUAGAUGGUAGUUCCACCCAUUUCUUGGUCAGUUUGGGUUUUUUCCGCUAACCACCAGAGUUUCAUCUUUCUUAGGUUAAUGUCAGGUUUGGGGUGGAUGUACAAUAAGGCAUAGUCAGAUGGACAUAAAUGAAAAGUACUUGCACAAACAACAUAUAUUUAUUAAGCUCUGUAUAGUUAGCUUUUAAACAUAUCUAAGAAAGAAAGAAAUAAUUAACCCAGAAAAAAGGCAUCCUUAGCCUGAGUUAAUUUUCAAAAUUUCAGAUCUUCCAUUUUUUAUAUGGGUUUCUAAAAUUGAGUUUAAAUGGAUAGUUCUGUGUAUCUGCAGGGCUUUUCUCUCUUAAGAGACAAAUUUUCCUUGAUUUUUCUCUUUUUUAGUUUAUUUGAAAAGACUAGCUUUUGUCUCUACACUUUUAAAAACUACAGAAAUUCUUUCAUAUUUUGAGUAAAUUGUGAUCACUGGUUUGCUCCAUAUAGUAAAUGUAACAGAAAAGAUGAAAAUAAUGCUGAAAUUUCUUGUGUUGUUUUCCUUCCCACUUUUUAAAAGAAAAGUUAUGCUUUUAAAAGUUAUGCUUACAAGGAACCUUGCAGGCCCAACUCCAUAAGAUCGAACACACUAAUUGCUCAAUCAAUGUUGAGUGAUGGAAUAGUGGGGGCUAGAGCAAAAAGGGAAAAAAAAAUCUAAAUAGCUUGAAUUGGGU